rnacentral:rRNA from 1 species
UACGGGGGGGGGUAAGCGUUGUUCGGAAUUACUGGGCGUAAAGGGCUCGUAGGCGGCCAACUAAGUCAGACGUGAAAUCCCUCAGCUUAACUGGGGAACUGCGUCUGAUACUGGAUGGCUUGGAUUUGGGAGAGGGAUGCGGAAUUCCAGGUGUAGCGGUGAAACGCGUAGAUAUCUGGAGGAACACCGGUGGCGAAGGCGGCAUCCUGGACCAAUAUUGACGCUGAGGAGCGAAAGCCAGGGGAGCAAACGGG